CCUCCGUUCAAAAUUUGCAUUUUUCAUCGAAGGGUUAUUAAGAUUCACUUAAAGGAACCUUUGAAGUUGCGUCAGGCAUUCAAGAUGUAAGAAAAGCGCCCUUAAUCCUGUUCCUGGUGGGUCGCGGGAGGGGGGGGGGGGAACCCCGACCUACUUUUUUCCAAUUUAAAAAAUUUCCUCAUCAGUUUUUGCAAGCUGCGUUCACACCCAUAUAAUAAUUAGCCAUAUAAUUUUAAUUACCAUAUUUAUAUAUUUAGUUUAAAUAUCAUGUCAAGUUCGAACUGUGCGAAUAGACAGAACCAGCUAGGGUCUGACGCAUUCCUCAGCCAAGGUCACGGAAACGAUGCAUUCAGCCUCGAGGCGUCCCUAGGAUGAUUAGCUAUGAUUACUGCUCAAAGUUUGCAUGGAUUAGGUCUCACAUGCUGAACAAAGUGUUCGCAAAGCUAUUUUCAUUUAUGAUUAAAGAGGUAAGUAUCGGAAAUCUUUAUUCACUUUUUGCGCAAAAUUAUUGUUCGUGACGCAUUGUGGACUUGUCGGCAAAGCUACCACACGCGCAAACAGCGCAAUCGCAGGUGACCUUCAUUCCCGCAAUGAAUGCUAAUUAACCAUGCUCCUGCAAAGAGCGAAUUUAAGAUUUCAGGCUUUCAGAGAUUCCCUUUCAUACUGCGUUUCAGUUUUUAACGAAUACUCAAGCAGAUAACGUCAUAACGAGUACCCAUUCGCGCACCGUAUGCAAAUUAGCCGUGCUCAAGCAUGGAGCGAAAUUUAGACUUCCAAGACUUUAAUACGGUGUUCGCCUUCGAACCAAAUACCCAGAUUGUAAAAGUACGAAACACGCACGAUAGGGAAAGAGGAACUUUUUGACAGUUUUGUUCCCAGAGGCAAAGUAUAAAAGUGAAGAACAGCGCGCAAAAUAAAGUGAAAAAGUGAAAUAACUUCUACUAAUACGAAUUUCGAAAUCUUUACGAUUUAUCU